GUGACGAUGGCCUUGAAACUGCGCUUGCGCUUCGGCACGUUCUGCUCUGGAUGCAAAAUGAUGAUGUAGACCUUCGGCAUGUAAAGCAUCCCCAGGGAUACCGAGGCGCUCAGGCUCAGGGAUAUGGUAGCCCCCCUAUUUACGAACACUUUUCACAUCUAUUUGAUCCAAACCUUGUUAAAGAAAAAAAAAAUGCAAACAAACUGGGUUUGCAUUCAAAUUUUGCCAGCUAUUGUAUUCUGUUGUUCAUUACAAUGCAACUGUAAAUAUAGAGUAUGCUUUGCUUAUAAAU